UACGUAGGUGGCGAGCGUUAUCCGGAAUGAUUGGGCGUAAAGGGUGCGCAGGCGGUCCUGCAAGUCUGGAGUGAAAUGCCGGGGCCCAACCCCGGAACUGCUCUGGAAACUGUGAAGCUGGAGUGCAGGAGAGGUAAGCGGAAUUCCUGGUGUAGCGGUGAAAUGCGUAGAUAUCAGGAGGAACACCGGCGGCGAAGGCGGCUUACUGGACUGUAACUGACGUUGAGGCUCGAAGGCGUGGGGAGCAAACAGG
rnacentral:rRNA from 1 species